AAACAAAACAACAACAACAACAACAAAAGCCAUGGUUGCUGGGGAUCUGAGUUCAAACCCCCAUGCUAUCCAGAAAGCGCUUUACCCAGGGAGCUAUCUCCCAACCUCUAGUUCCUUUUACACAGUGUUUGAUUUCGUUUCAUAUUUUGGUACAGGUUUUGUAUCAAGAGAUACUGAUCUGUAUUUUUAUGUUUUCUUCACUCGCUUGCAGUUUGGUAUCAGGGCAAUAUGGAAUCAGGGCAAUAGUUGGGAAGCGACUUUUGCUUCUCAUGGCGAGCUGAUGUUUUUGUUGUUUGUUUGUUUCUGUUUUAAAGACAGAGUUUGACUCUGUAGCUCAAGGUGGCCGGGCAGUCGCCAUGUUGGAUGGGCCCUAAGCUUGCAGCAGGCCUCCUGACUCAGCCUCCCUCCCGGAUGCUGAGGUUACAACAAGAGCCACCAUGCCUACCUGAAGAGCUGGUGUUUAAAGGAAACUAAAGCCUGGUGAUUCGUUGUGCACAGGGGAAGCCUUUCUGGUCCUUCUCUAGUCCGUCUGCUAUCCAGAUUUACCCAAAGCACCAUGCAACACGUGAGCACUAUCCUCCUGACGUGUGAACUGAGACACCAACCUCUGAGUCAAAGACUGCCACCUGAUAAUGACGUCAGCAGCAAGUGGCCAGAGUGAUCUCAGUGCCACCUAGCCUCCGCCACCACCUCCUUUUCUAUAAAAUUGUCCCUCUGUUCCUUUUACAUGGACAAUAAGGCUGAAAAUACUAUGUCAGGUAAGUAAGGAGUGUGUCCAUCUCAGAAAUGGGCCUUCCAGGUAGCAAAGCCCUAAACAAAGAGAGCUGCGGGCAAGGGCACACUCAGCUUCCCUGGCACUCAGGGCCUAGAAGCUGCUGGGCACUGGCACACUUCAUAAGUCAUACACUCACGAGGCUCGCUGCCCUGAAGAAUUUUUCAGAUGCUUUUUUAUCCUGAGAUGUGCUGAAGACUUUCCAAGCACCUGGCCCAGGCCAAACUACAAAGUUUACAGUGACCUUUAACCCAAUUUGGUAAUGUCAACCAACUUGAGGCUUUCUUGUGGCACACUUCUCCCUCACUACAGGACCUUAAGACAAGGCCCGUUGCUUUCCCUGGGUGGCCUGAACCACUGCGGCAGACAUACUGUGCCAUGGGGUUGAGUAAACCCUUUGCCUGAAAGUCAUUGUGACUCUGUGCCUCCUUUGACCCACAGUGACGGGGUAGCUGAGCGUUUGUUGAAAUAAAGCGAUAUAGUUUGCUACAUCAGCUGACUCCUCCUGCCAUGCAAACGUCCUCUGUAGCAUGCUAUGUUGGAGCUGUAAUUGCAGUCAGUGCUUUCAUGCACUUCUGCUGUGCUAUCAACUAAGUGAAUGGAACGGUUUAAAUUCUUUGUGAUAUAAAAUGCUAACAAUAUCUUCAUCAGGCAGAAAAGCCAUCUCGAGUAACCUGUUCUUUUUCUUGUAAGAAAGCAAACUCCUCAUCCAUUAAAGUUUUGUUUAUAAGAUUGCA